GAGAGUCAGAGAGAGAGAGAGCUGAACUGAUCACUUUCCUCAAGAUUGAUCGAUCAGCCUCGUAUGUGGAAACUCCGUCAGAGUGAGACCUCUGCUUCUCACGCUCGCUCUUUGAAGCACUCGCGCAUGCGCUGCUAUCAAAGCGGAAGUAAACAAGCAGCGUGCAGCUCUCAGACCCGCGUGCAGCAUCAGCAGGAGGACGGCGAAAGACAGUACCACAACAAGCUGAUGUGUAUCAGCUCUGCUCCUCCUCCUUCAUCUACACCUCCUCCUCAUGAAUCCUACUGCAGACUCCUUCUGUCCCUCCCCUCAGAAGAGGAGGAGGUCAGAAAGUCUGGAGGAAUCUCCUCCUCCUGUCGACACAACUGAGAGAACAGAGAGGAAGAAGAAGAAGAAGAAGAGGAGACAAGAGGAGGAGGAGGUGAGUCCUCCUCUUCCUCCUCCUCCUGCUGUUGGAGAGACAAACAGAGAGAAUGAAAAAAAGAAGAAGAAGAAGGGAAAGGAGAAGCAGGAGGAGGGAGGAGCAGAGGAGGAGGUGGAGUUAGAAACAAGUGAGACUGAAAAAAAGAAGAAGAAGAAGAAGAAGAAGAAACAGAAGAAUGGACUGAGUGAGGUCAACAUCGUCAUGUUAACAGACCACAGCAACAGAGAAACAGAUGCCAUGGUUUCCAUGGAAACCAACAACAUCAGGACUGAGAAGAAGAAGAAAACUAAGAAAAUAGAGGAGAGGAGGAUGAGAGGAGGAGGGAAGGAGAGAGAGAGAGAAAGAGCAGCUGUGAAACAUGAUGAGUGUGACGGGGAACAGGAGCUGCAGGAGCUGCAGGAGUUCAUCCCAGACGUCAGGAAGAAAUCAGUCGGUCAGAUCAGUAAACUGCUGAGAUAUGACCUGCAACGCUUCAAGAACUUCAAACAGCAAGGUGUAUCUCUGCGUUGGGGGCGGUACUCUAAACAGGAGAAUCAGCAAAUCAGAAAGAACAUUUCAGACUUCCUGGCUCUGACAGGCAUCAGCUCGGCCAAUCAGCUUCUGUUUCCUCAGAGAUACAAAGAGCAGGAGGCGGAGAUCAAGAAGCUGAGAGUACAACAUCACUUCCUGGAGAGGAUCGCUGAGGGAAUCCCUCGGACGUGUGAUCAAGUUUAUGUCAGAGCCAGGAAGAUUUUUGACGACAGGAACCACAGGGGAAGGUUCUCGGAGGAGGAGUUGCAUUCUCUGGUUAAGUUGCAAAACCUUCAUGGUAACGACUGGAAGACGAUUGCUCAGAAGAUGGAACGCAGCAUCUACGCCUUAGAGAAACGCUUCGCCAACAUCGCUGAGGGUCAUGGAUCCUGGAGUUCAGAUGAAGAGUCCAGGUUGAAGGUGGCUCUGAAGGCUCACCUGGAGGCCGUGGUCCAACAGAGUCCUACAGGUCCUCGUCUGACCAGGGACCAGCUGUGGAACAACCUACCCUGGAAGGAGAUCAGUCAGCAGGUUGGAACCAGAUCCUGGACCCAGUGUCGCCUCAAGUGGUUCUCCAUCCUAAAGGUGAAACUGUCCUCAGGUGGCAGCACCUUCAACAGAGGAAGUGAAGGACUUCAGGCUAAAAUCAAUCUCAUCAACACGUUGUACAACAUGCGUGUAGACGAUGCAGGCGACAUUGACUGGGACGAGGUCGCUCUGAGUGUCGGUAAAACAACUCCAGUGUGUGUUCAGAAGAGUUUCCACAGACUGAAGGUUUCCAGAGUUCCUGACUGGGCCAGGUUAUCAUAUGGAGCUCCUGGUUCUUCAGGUUCUCUUUGACUUGAUCCAUGUCUCCUCACACCACUGCACCUUUACUGUAGUCUGGUCAGUGGCAGGGGAUUCUGGGUAACACGGUCCAUUCAGCCUGAGAGGAAACAGUUUGUAUGAUCGACGGCUCCUGUGAUAAUCAACAUCCGAUCAGUCUGUUGUUGUUUGUUUGUUGUUUGGUGAUAAAAUGUUAUCAGAAUGUACUGUAGUUUAUCCAGCAGCAGAGGAUUCUGGGAGCUGUAGUUCAUUUGUUGGUGAUGGCCUGAAGGCUGCUGGUUCUCCUCAUGAUGUUCGGGACAAACAGGAGUCCUGACGCUCGCUCGAUGGUUUCUAUGGGAACCAGGAAAUGCUCCAGAGGAACCUUCUCAUCGAUUGGUUCGUUUGGUAAAAGAUACGACCGAAGCUCCACCCCCCUGCCGUCCACCUUACAGAAAUUAUUGACUUCCUGCAGCAGAGGGAGGUACCUCUCCUGAAGAAGAAAUUGAGUCAGUUCAACAGACGGGAGGUGCAGCACGAGCAGCAGGAAGAGGAGAUGUACCUGCUGUCUGACAUCUUCACCUCUCAGGAUGAGGAGGAC